GAUGAACGCUGGCGGCGUGCCUAAUACAUGCAAGUCGAGCGAACGGACGAGAAGCUUGCUUCUCUGAUGUUAGCGGCGGACGGGUGAGUAACACGUGGAUAACCUACCUAUAAGACUGGGAUAACUUCGGGAAACCGGAGCUAGUACCGGAUAAUAUUUUGAACCGCAUGGUUCAAAAGUGAAAGACGGUCUUGCUGUCACUUAUAGAUGGAUCCGCGCUGCAUUAGCUAGUUGGUAAGGUAACGGCUUACCAAGGCAACGAUGCAUAGCCGACCUGAGAGGGGGAUCGGCCACACGGGAACUGAGACACGGUCCAGACUCCUACGGGAGGCAGCAGUAGGGAAUGUUCCGCAAUGGGCGAAAGCCUGACGGAGCAACGCCGCGUGAGUGAUGAAGGUCUUCGGAUCGUAAAACUCUGUUAUUAGGGAAGAACAUAUGUGUAAGUAACUGUGCACAUCUUGACGGUACCUAAUCAGAAAGCCACGGCUAACUACGUG
rnacentral:rRNA from 1 species